GCAAGCUUGAAAGAUAAAAGGAGGUACUGGUUUCUGAAAUGGAGAAGAAGCCUUGCUACCUUGCUGCCAUUUUUGUGAGAGAAGGAGAAGUUCAAAGCUUGGUGGAAUUGCUUGGAGCUGCAAGUUUUGGAAGAGUUAGACUCAAAGAAUUCACAAAGGAAGUCUUCAAGAGCUUGGUUUGGACGAGCGUUGACGAGCGGGGGAUUUAUAGUGGAAAGGUGUAAUUGUGUACGUCUGUGAACGUUCGCCAUUUUCCAGGUAAGGGAAGCUUAUUUGAUUUAA